UACGAAGGGGACUAGCGUUGUUCGGAAUCACUGGGCGUAAAGCGCACGUAGGCGGAUUUGUAAGUCAGGGGUGAAAUCCCGGGGCUCAACCUCGGAACUGCCUUUGAUACUGCGAAUCUUGAGUCCGAUAGAGGUGGGUGGAAUUCCUAGUGUAGAGGUGAAAUUCGUAGAUAUUAGGAAGAGCACCGGUGGCGAAGGCGGCCCACUGGAUCGGUACUGACGCUGAGGUGCGAAAGCGUGGGGAGCAAACAGG
rnacentral:rRNA from 1 species